GACGAACGCUGGCGGCGCGCCUAACACAUGCAAGUCGAACGAGCGAGAGAGAGCUUGCUUUCUCGAGCGAGUGGCGAACGGGUGAGUAACGCGUGAGGAACCUGCCUCAAAGAGGGGGACAACAGUUGGAAACGACUGCUAAUACCGCAUAAGCCCACAGUGCCGCAUGGCACAGAGGGAAAAGGAGCAAUCCGCUUUGAGAUGGCCUCGCGUCCGAUUAGCUAGUUGGUGAGGUAAUGGCCCACCAAGGCGACGAUCGGUAGCCGGACUGAGAGGUUGAACGGCCACAUUGGGACUGAGACACGGCCCAGACUCCUACGGGAGGCAGCAGUGGGGAAUAUUGCACAAUGGGGGAAACCCUGAUGCAGCGACGCCGCGUGGAGGAAGAAGGUCUUCGGAUUGUAAACUCCUGUUGUUGAGGAAGAUAAUGACGGUACUCAACAAGGAAGUGACGGCUAACUACGUGCCAGCAGCCGCGGUAAAACGUAGGUCACAAGCGUUGUCCGGAAUUACUGGGUGUAAAGGGAGCGCAGGCGGGAAGACAAGUUGGAAGUGAAAUCCAUGGGCUCAACCCAUGAACUGCUUUCAAAACUGUUUUUCUUGAGUAGUGCAGAGGUAGGCGGAAUUCCCGGUGUAGCGGUGGAAUGCGUAGAUAUCGGGAGGAACACCAGUGGCGAAGGCGGCCUACUGGGCACCAACUGACGCUGAGGCUCGAAAGUGUGGGUAGCAAACAGGAUUAGAUACCCUGGUAGUCCACACUGUAAACGAUGAUUACUAGGUGUUGGAGGAUUGACCCCUUCAGUGCCGCAGUUAACACAAUAAGUAAUCCACCUGGGGAGUACGACCGCAAGGUUGAAACUCAAAGGAAUUGACGGAAGG
rnacentral:rRNA from 1 species